UACGAAGGGGGCUAGCGUUGCUCGGAAUCACUGGCGUAAAGGUGCGUAGGCGGGUUUUUAAGUCAGAGGUGAAAUCCUGGAGCUCAACUCCAGAACUGCCUUUGAUACUGAAAGUCUUGAGUAUGGGAGAGGUGAGUGGAACUGCGAGUGUAGAGGUGAAAUUCGUAGAUAUUCGCAAGAACACCAGUGGCGAAGGCGGCUCACUGGCCCAUAACUGACGCUGAGGCACGAAGCGUGGGAGCAACAGGAUAGAUAAC
rnacentral:rRNA from 1 species